rnacentral:rRNA from 1 species
GACGUAGGAUGCGAGCGUUGUCCGGAUUUAUUGGGCGUAAAGAGUUCGUAGGUGGUUUGUUAAGUCUGAUGUUAAAGACCGAGGCUCAACCUCGGAAAUGCAUUGGAUACUGGCAGACUCGAGUGUAGUAGAGGCAAGCGGAAUUCCAGGUGUAGCGGUGAAAUGCGUAGAUAUCUGGAAGAACACCAGUGGCGUAAGCGGCUUGCUGGGCUAUAACUGACACUGAGGAACGAAAGCCAGGGUAGCGAAU